CCCCUGCACCAACUGUGGGAACAUCUCCAUCCACAUCCAGGGGACUUCCUAAGUUCUCUUUGCAGGGGACAGCAAACACCACAUUCUGCAGACUGGUGGGGUUAAUGGAGACACAGUGUGAGACAGAUCCCAUAUCAAGAUCUCUCAGAUCAAAGCAGGGCUCAGACACUCCACGGAGACACAACCAGGAAGAAACUAUUCACUAAUCUCUUUGGGACUUCACUACAUUACAGUCUACAUUUCCUCUGCACAGAUAAGCUCUUUCCCAAACACACCUGCUGAGGAAGAUAGAGGCUGUUGAUCCUAUUUUGUGGGGUUUUCUUUGGAACCAGUGUGCAGUACAUUGCACAACCAGCCCAUUUCAGCCAUCUGAUACAAUACUGUUGUGGGUACCUGAGAAAAUAGCCACAUCCCUUAGGGAAAAAGGGACAAGGCUGGACAGGGCUUUGAGCACCUGAUGGGAGCUGUGGGUGUCCCUGUUCAUUGCAGUUAGAAAUGAGCUCUAAAGACCAAAUGGCCUUUAAAGGUCAUUUCCAACUUAAACUGUUCUAUGACUAUAUAUAUUUCAAUAGGAAAAAAUAGGAGGCAUAGAACAUGCACAGAGGAGAGAUGAUUCCCAAGGGUUGGCACAAUCCAGAGACUGGGCUCUGACCUUAACAUAGGACUGCAGUUUGAAAUACGUUGCCGUGCCCAUGGUUUCUAAUCUUCUUAUACAGAGCAUCAGGCUUCUGAAAGCUCAGGGUCUGUUAAAGUUAGGUUAUUUGAGGACCUUCUUCCUCAUUACAAGUACCUAUCCCAUUUCUUCAGUGCUUGAGAGGAAUAAGUCUUUCUUCUGCCUUUGAUCCCUGAUUCAGGGCAUAUAGAGCAGAUCCAGACCCAUCACUCAGUGCCAACACCUAAUGUGGUCUUUAUGAUGCUUUCAGAGCUCCUCUCUAUCAUGGAUGAGAAGAAACACAAAGGUCACUGUGGAUGUAUGGACGGUGCUCCUCCAUGGAGAAGGUGUGUGAGAAGCAGGUCUAAGGGGAUGACAUCCUUUGAAACUCAGUCUCUGAACAGACAUUGAGGAACAGCAAGGGGACAUCUAGAGAAUCUUCUAAUCUCCAUAAAUCCAUAAAUAAAUUCUAUUGCUGGCGAGCCA
rnacentral:lncRNA from 1 species